UGCUUUUAACAUGGACAUGUGGGCGUCUACGGCCAAUGAAUUGGGCUGUUGCAGGCCAUUGCAAUGCUACUGAGGCCAAACGGCUCGCUGAUCCUUGUUCAAAGCUUUCGAGUUACAUACAGCCCGGCUAGUGACACGUUGUGCUAAGAACCUGGUGUUGCGGGACGAGGCAUGUUGGAUUCAAUAAUUUAUUUGUUACUUUCGCAUCGUUCGGUGCAUUCUGGGGACUGUUUUGGCUUUUGGUUGCUUGCUUGGCUUUUUGCUGGGUGGGUCGCUACUAGUUGGGCGGUUGGUGUUUGGUUUGUUACGGGUGGUUGGCUGUCUGCUUGCGCAGCAACGUCCACGCGUGCAUACCUCUUCAGUUUUGCGACAAGGCUUUGUUUGUCUUGAGCAUAUUGUGGGUUUCCUGUGUUGCAUACCUAAUCGAUGGUAAAGUGUGGGUUUUAUGAUGUCCCUUUUCGUCAUGCGUCGCUCAUGCGGCGUGGGAUGAACAUUGAAGCGGUCUUUGUGAUCCACAUUGUUGUUGCAUUUGCAACGAUGAUGUGGCCUAUGAAGCAUCGUUUGGUCUCUUGUAUACGGAACCUGAUGUGGGCAUGGAUCUUAUUAGAUCUUGAAUCUGCCCUCGUUAAGCGUUCUCGCUUCUCCAAAACGAUUGUYUGCCAUGUCUUGGCUUGCCUUGGCAUGGUGGGCUACGUCGA
rnacentral:misc_RNA from 1 species